AUGCACGCUGGCGGCGUGCCUAAUACCUGCAAGUCGCGCGAACGGACGAGAAGCUUGCUUCUCUGAUGUUAGCGGCGGCCGGGUGAGUAACACGUGGAUAACCUACCUAUAAGACUGGGAUAACUUCGGGAAACCGGAGCUAAUACCGGAUAAUAUUUUGAACCGCAUGGUUCAAAAGUGAAAGACGGUCUUGCUGUCACUUAUAGAUGGAUCCGCGCUGCAUUAGCUAGUUGGUAAGGUAACGGCUUACCGAGGCAACGAUGCAUAGCCGACCUGAGAGGGUGAUCGGCCACACUGGAACUGAGACACGGUCCAGACUCCUACGGGAGGCAGCAGUAGGGAAUCUUCCGCAAUGGGCGAAAGCCUGACGGAGCAACGCCGCGUGAGUGAUGAAGGUCUUCGGAUCGUAAAACUCUGUUAUUAGGGAAGAACAUAUGUGUAAGUAACUGUGCACAUCUUGACGGUACCUAAUCAGAAAGCCACGGCUAACUACGUG
rnacentral:rRNA from 1 species